rnacentral:lncRNA from 1 species
CCGCUCGAUAAUUUAUAUUCAUGGACUUCAAUAUAUUCAUGUCCCUCUUGGACAAUAAUUUGGUACCAUAAUAUUUGCAAACUCUUGUUUUCUAGUUGCACAUCAGUACAUCUACAAAAUCUUCCAAAACAUUUCAAAAUAUAAAAGUCACAUUAAGUAUAAUAAGAUAAAUAGUGAAACUUAAAAUUGACUUUUAAUCCCAUGUUUGAACAUCCAUUCAACUCUUGUAUUUGACUUCCGUAUUUUGAAGAUAUCCAUUGUGUGGAGCUUCUUUGAAAAUGUUCCAUGUCUACAAACACUUCUAAACAUUUUCACAAAAUAGUAGUGUCACAAUAUAUGAGAAUAACUUAGAUAUAUUUAAACAAAAGUAUGAUAUUUCAAUAUUCAUCCAACUUUUCUUCGAGCAUUGACCAAAGAAAUGAAAACUAUAUUAAAUAGUUUAAUACCUCCACAUUUCAAGUAUAUCCAACUUGUAGCACUUCUUUGCCACAUUUUAAAUUGACCUUCUUCAUGCAAAUGGGAUAGGAUGUUGUUCACUAAAAAGCCAGAAAGUGUCAUCUAAUACAUGAUGUGAAAUUCAAUGUCUAUGACAAUUGGUCAAAAUUAAUUAAAUAGAUUAUCACUUAGUUCAUUUGACAAUACCUUUAUGAGCCUAGUGAUUCUGUUAGCCCGAAUAUAAAUAUUUACAAAUUCUCCCACUUGGAAAACAUAAUCGAAUAUAAUGAUACUAAACGUUGGACAAUAUUCUUUAACAUAACCAUAAAGUAUCAAAUAUGGUUUAACGUGCACUACACCAAAAAUGGUCUAUUGCAACACAUAAAAUGCA